UGCCAGCAGCCGCGGUAAUACGUAGGGCCCAAGCGUUGUCCGGAUUUAUUGGGCGUAAAGAGCUCGUAGGCGGUUCGGUAAGUCGGGUGUGAAAACUCAGGGCUCAACCCUGAGACGCCACUCGAUACUGCCAUGACUAGAGUCCGGUAGAGGAGCGUGGAAUUCCUGGUGUAGCGGUGAAAUGCGCAGAUAUCAGGAGGAACACCGAUAGCGAAGGCAGCGCUCUGGGCCGGUACUGACGCUGAGGAGCGAAAGUGUGGGGAGCAAACAGGAUUAGAUA
rnacentral:rRNA from 1 species